AGCCGGGGAGAUAGCGGUGCCCUGUACCUGCAAUCCGCUACAGCAGGGGUCAUGCCAAACCGAGGAUUUCUCAUUGUAGGGCUGCCUUUUAUAAGUGGCGUUGACGCCUGGGUCUUACGCAACAGGAAUCUGUGAACCGUGUCAGGACAGGAAUGUAGCAGCACUAAGCAGAACCUUCUGUGUGCCGUAAGGGCGCCUGGGCUGAGUUAACUGUAAGAGUAACGCCUAUGGUGAAUGUUCGAAGGGCGGCGCGCG
rnacentral:SRP_RNA from 1 species